rnacentral:rRNA from 1 species
AUACGGAGGGGGCUAGCGUUGUUCGGAAUUACUGGGCGUAAAGCGCGUGUAGGCGGAUCGUUAAGUCAGGGGUGAAAGCCCGGGGCUCAACCCCGGAACUGCCCUUGAUACUGGCGAUCUAGAGUCCAGAAGAGGUUGGCGGAAUUCCCGGUGUAGAGGUGAAAUUCGUAGAUAUCGGGAGGAACACCAGUGGCGAAGGCGGCUCACUGGUCCGGCACUGACGCUGAGACGCGAAAGCGUGGGGAGCAAACAGGAUUAGAUACCCUAGUAGUCC